rnacentral:rRNA from 1 species
UACGUAGGGUGCGAGCGUUGUCCGGAAUUAUUGGGCGUAAAGGGCUCGUAGGCGGUUUGUCGCGUCAGGAGUGAAAACUCGGGGCUUAACCCCGAGCCUGCUUCUGGUACGGGCAGACUAGAGGUAUGCAGGGGAGAACGGAAUUCCUGGUGUAGCGGUGAAAUGCGCAGAUAUCAGGAGGAACACCGGUGGCGAAGGCGACCUUCUGGACAGUGACUGACGCUGAGACGCGAAAGCGUGGGGAGCAAACAGG